CAAUUUAGAAACUUGUUGCUCAUCUCAUAAAAUCUCUGUAGGCGAGUGGAGGGGUCCGCAACAUUCCUGGCUACUCGAAUGAACUGACUGCGGGGUAAAGAACGGAUAGUCCACUGGGGAUGAAAACUAUUAAACUCCAACAGACUAUUCCUAUCCGUGGGUUUAUUAUGGAAUGUAGCGUGACUACAAUUAGUUUCCUAGAUUUAAAGAUCAUUCGGCAUGGGGACAGUUUUUUAACUGAUUUACAUACAACACAUGGCGGCGGGCACCUGGUCGCAGGGCUGCGACCGCGGUAUGUACGACAGUGCAUGCAGAUUUAACCCUGCAGCGGAAAACAUAGCAGUUUCAGAGAAACUGCUAUGUUUCACUGAGGGUUAAUCCAGCCUCUAGUAGCUGACUGUGAGAAGACGCUGGACGUCCAUAGAAAAGCAUUGAGUAAUGCUUUCCUAUGGGUGGUUUGGAUGG